CUUGAAAUCAUUAAGAAAAGCACCUAGACCUAACAAGAUUAAGUGAAUACCUAAAAUUGUGGUCAUUUGAUUCCUCUCUUUCCA
rnacentral:antisense_RNA from 1 species